AAUUGCAGGCAUAUCACCCAAGAAAGGCCCAAUGGAUGAUCUUUCCCCUGAAUGUAAAUUUUUCACAGUCUUACAGAUUCUGAGGAUGGUGGGGGACAAGCAGUGGCCUGAUUGGGUUGCCAGAAAGUUCCUGCUCCAGACCCCAAGCCGCCCCAGCCUCUGCUCCUUCCAGCUGUCACGGGUAGAAGCAAGUGCUAUUGGGAAAGUCGAUGCAGAACGGGAAAUGAAGGUGUUGAUGUCCAAUCUGAUUCCAAGUUUUGAGAAGCUGCACAGUGCCCCUCAGGCACAUAUUUCACUAACAGGUAACUGUGAUUACUUAAGAAUAAAAAGAUCCUUGUAUCUUUCAAAAA